AUCUUUAUAGUUUAUUUUAAAAUGUUACACUGAAAAUGUAAAGAAAUUUAUUUUAAAGAUA
rnacentral:tRNA from 1 species